rnacentral:rRNA from 1 species
ACGAAGGGUGCAAGCGUUACUCGGAAUUACUGGGCGUAAAGCGUGCGUAGGCGGUGGGUUAAGUCUGAUGUGAAAUCCCCGGGCUCAACCUGGGAAUGGCAUUGGAGACUGGCUUGCUAGAGUACGGUAGAGGGUGGUGGAAUUCCCGGUGUAGCAGUGAAAUGCGUAGAGAUCGGGAGGAACAUCUGUGGCGAAGGCGGCCACCUGGACCAGUACUGACGCUGAGGCACGAAAGCGCGGGGAGCAAACAGGAUUAGAUACCCUGGUAGUCCACGCCCUAAACGAUGCGAACUGGAUGUUGGGGGCAACUUGGCCCUCAGUAUCGAAGCUAACGCGUUAAGUUCGCCGCCUGGGGAGUACGGUCGCAAGACUG